rnacentral:rRNA from 1 species
CUAGAGAGAAAUAGAGGGAAGCGGAAUUCCGGGUGUAGUGGUGAAAUGCGUAGAUAUCCGGAGGAAUACCGGUGGCGAAGGCGGCUUCCUGGAUUUCAACUGACGCUGAGGCGCGAAAGCGUGGGUAGCGAACGGGAUUAGAAACCCCGGUAGUCCACGCCGUAAACGAUGCACAUUCGAUGUUCGGUCAUGUUAAGUGAUUGAGUGUUCCAGCAAACGCGAUAAAUGUGCCGCCUGGGGAGUACGGUCGCAAGGCUAAAACUCAAAGGAAUUGACGGGGGCCCGCACAAGCAGCGGAGCGUGUGGUUUAAUUCGAGGCUACGCGAAGAACCUUACCUGGGUUUGACAUGAUGGUAGUACGGAAGCGAAAGCGGAAGGACCUUCGGGAGCCAUCACAGGUGCUGCAUGGUUGUCGUCAGCUCGUGCCGUGAGGUGUUCGGUUAAGUCCGCAAACGAGCGCAACCCUCGAUGCUAGUUACAAGUGUCUAGCAUGACUGCCCAUGACAAAUGGGAGGAAGGUGGGGAUGAUGUCAAAUCAGCAUGGCCUUUAUAUCCAGGGCGACACACACGCUACAAUGGUCGGUACAAUGGGUAGCGAAGCCGCGAGGUGGAGCGAAUCCUGCAAAGUCGGUCUCAGUUCGGAUUGCAGGCUGCAACUCGCCUGCAUGAAGUCGGAGUUGCUAGUAACCGCAAAUCAGCACGUUGCGGUGAAUACGUUCCCGGGCCUUGUACACACCGCCC